rnacentral:rRNA from 1 species
CAAUAGCGUAUAUUAAAGUUGUUGCAGUUAAAAAGCUCGUAGUUGGAUUUCGGGAUGGCCCGGCCGGUCUGCCGCAAGGUAUGUUACUGGCCGAGCUGGUCUUCUUCGCAAAGACUGUGUGUGCUCUUAACUGAGUGUGCUCAGGAUCUGUGACGUUUACUUUGAAAAAAUUAGAGUGUUCAAAGCAAGCCAGCGCUUGAAUACAUAAGCAUGGAAUAAUGGAAUAGGACUUUGGUUCUAUUUUGUUGGUUUCUGGAACCUUAGUAAUGAUUAAGAGAGACAGUUGGGGGCAUUCGUAUUUCGUUGUCAGAGGUGAAAUUCUUGGAUUUACGAAAGACGAACUACUGCGAAAGCAUUUGCCAAGAAUGUUUUCAUUAA